rnacentral:rRNA from 1 species
GAUGAACGCUGGCGGCGUGCUUAACACAUGCAAGUCGAACGAUGAAGCCCAGCUUGCUGGGUGGAUUAGUGGCGAACGGGUGAGUAACACGUGAGUAACCUGCCCUUAACUCUGGGAUAAGCCUGGGAAACUGGGUCUAAUACCGGAUAGGAGCGUCCACCGCAUGGUGGGUGUUGGAAAGAUUUAUCGGUUUUGGAUGGACUCGCGGCCUAUCAGCUUGUUUGUGAGGUAAUGGCUCACCAAGGCGACGACGGGUAGCCGGCCUGAGAGGGUGACCGGCCACACUGGGACUGAGACACGGCCCAGACUCCUACGGGAGGCAGCAGUGGGGAAUAUUGCACAAUGGGCGCAAGCCUGAUGCAGCGACGCCGCGUGAGGGAUGACGGCCUUCGGGUUGUAAACCUCUUUCAGUAGGGAAGAAGCGAAAGUGACGGUACCUGCAGAAGAAGCACCGGCUAACUACGUG